UACAGAGGGUGCGAGCGUUAAUCGGAAUUACUGGGCGUAAAGCGCGCGUAGGCGGCUUGUUAAGUUAAAUGUGAAAUCCCCGAGCUUAACUUGGGCAUUGCAUUCGAUACUGGCAAGCUAGAGUAUGGGAGAGGAAGGUAGAAUUCCAGGUGUAGCGGUGAAAUGCGUAGAGAUCUGGAGGAAUACCGAUGGCGAAGGCAGCCUUCUGGCCUAAUACUGACGCUGAGGUGCGAAAGCAUGGGGAGCAAACAGG
rnacentral:rRNA from 1 species